rnacentral:rRNA from 1 species
AGAGUUUGAUCCUGGCUCAGAAUCAACGCUGGCGGCGUGCCUAACACAUGCAAGUCGAACGAGAAAGUGGAGCAAUCCAUGAGUAAAGUGGCGCACGGGUGAGUAACACGUGACUAACCUACCCUUGAGUGGGGGAUAACCUGGGGAAACCUUGGCUAAUACCGCAUAACACCUACGGGUCAAAGGAGCAAUUCGCUUAAGGAGGGGGUCGCGGCAGAUUAGUUAGUUGGCGGGGUAAUGGCCCACCAAGACGGUGAUCUGUAUCCGGCCUGAGAGGGCGCACGGACACACUGGAACUGAAACACGGUCCAGACUCCUACGGGAGGCAGCAGUGGGGAAUUUUGCGCAAUGGGGGAAACCCUGACGCAGCAACGCCGCGUGGAGGAUGAAGUCCCUUGGGACGUAAACUCCUUUCGACCGGGACGAUUAUGACGGUACCGGAAGAAGAAGCCCCGGCUAACUUCGUGCCAGCAGCCGCGGUAAUACGAGGGGGGCGAGCGUUGUUCGGAAUUAUUGGGCGUAAAGGGUGCGUAGGCGGUUCGGUAAGUUUUGUGUGAAAUCUUCGGGCUCAACUCGAAGCCUGCACAAAAUACUGCCGGGCUUGAGUGUGGGAGAGGUGAGUGGAAUUUCCGGUGUAGCGGUGAAAUGCGUAGAUAUCGGAAGGAACACCUGUGGCGAAAGCGGCUCACUGGACCACAACUGACGCUGAUGCACGAAAGCUAGGGGAGCAAACAGGAUUAGAUACCCCCGUAGUCC